rnacentral:rRNA from 1 species
CCUACGGGAGGCAGCAGUAGGGAAUCUUUCACAAUGGGCGAAAGCCUGAUGGAGCAACGUCGCGUGCAGGAUGAAGGCCUUCGGGUUGUAAACUGCUUUUAUAAGCGAGAAAUAUGAUGGUAACUUAUCAAUAAGGAUCGGCUACCUACGUGCCAGCAGCCGCGGUCGUACGUAGGAUCCGAGCAUUAUCCGGAGUGACUGGGUGUAAGGAGUUGCGUAGGUGGCAUAAUAAGUAGCUAGUGAAAUCUGGUGGCUCAACCAUUCAGACUAUUAGCUAAACUGUUAAGCUCGAGACCGUUAGGAGCAUCUGGAAUUUCUAGUGUAGGAGUGAAAUCCGUAGAUAUUAGAAGGAACACCAAUAGCGUAGGCAGGAUGCUGGGACGGGUCUGACACUAAGGCACGAAAGCGUAGGGAGCAAACGGGAUUAGAUACCCCUGUAGUC